GGGGCUGUAGCUCAGUUGGUUAGAGCAGGUCGCUCAUAACGACAAGGUCGUAGGUUCAAGUCCUACCCGCCCCACUC
rnacentral:tRNA from 1 species